CCUACGGGUGGCAGCAGUGAGGAAUAUUGGUCAAUGGCCGUAAGCCUGAACCAGCCAAGUCGCGUGAAGGAAGAAGGCCCUAUGGUUUGUAAACUUCUUUUACAGGGGAAUAAAGGUAUCCACGUGUGGAUAUUUGCAUGUACCCUAUGAAUAAGCAUAGGCUAACUCCGUGCCAGCAGCCGCGGUAAUACGGAGGAUGCGAGCGUUAACCGGAUUUAUUGGGUUUAAAGGGUGGGUAGGUUGGUUUUUAAGUUAGCGGUGAAAGUUUGUGGCUCAACCAUACAAUUGCCGUUGAAACUGGAAGCCUUGAGUGUGUUAGAGGUAGGCGGAAUGCGUGGUGUAGCGGUGAAAUGCAUAGAUAUCACGCAGAACUCCGAUUGCGAAGGCAGCCUACUGGGCCAUUACUGACGCUGAGGCACGAAAGCGUGGGGAUCGAACAGGAUUAGAUACCCCAGUAGUC
rnacentral:rRNA from 1 species